GAUUAAAAACCCUGGUCAGAGUUGCUCUCAGCAACUAUCUGAAUCACUUUAACUCUAGGAUUUUUUUAGGCUACGUUAGGAGCUCUUUGAGAGGACUCUGUAAAUUGUUAUGAAUACGGCCCCAGGUUUUCUGCAGGACAGGUGUAUAAUGCUGCUACUACAAGCAUUGGUGAAAGAAUGGAUUGCUGUCAGGAGCUCAGCAAAUUCCAGCAUGGUACUGGGGAGUGACAAUUAGCUCGACAGCAAAUGCAUAGAGAGCUUCAUGAGAUGGGUGUCCCUGGCCGGGCAGCUGCAUCCAAGCCUUACACCAUCAUGUUAUGUGACAGCAGACAAGUCAAUACAUUUGAUCAUACAACAUAUCUUAUGCAUCAGAAACUAGUUAGGGUGCUUGGAACUUUUUUUUGUAAAGAAAAUGGCAAAACUAUUUAUUUAAACUAAAUGGAAGCAUAAAAAUUAAAGAAGACAAAUAAAAAUGAUCAAAAUCAAAUCCACAAUAUAUAAAUCCUCAACACAACUAUGUUGUUUUAC